AUCGGUGUAAGCAGCAAAGGCAGAAGCAUGAAUUUGCUAUUACAUGUAAAAGGUGAUGGUGGAACGUUAGGUGUGAAAAGCACAUCUAAAAAGUCACAUCUCCUCACAAAAGGGGUUGGUUUGUGGGUUGCAUCGCAAAGUUUCCGUUGAGAACUGAAACAGAGAAACUUGCUCAUCUGUGGCAUGCAAAAAGGGAAAAUACAGAAGCCAGACUUCAUUUCUGUUUUUCACCAUAGGAAAGGAGCUGGCCUCUUGUUGGGCAGUGAAAUGAUCUUAGAUGGUAUAAUUCAGAAGAUAUCUCUAAUAGACGUCAAAUAGACAUAGACGUCUCUAAUCCAGCUAAUGAGGAUGGAUGUUAAUCUUCUGUUUUUUUCUCUCAGCUAAGAGGGUGGAUCAACAUGUACCAACCUGAACAGAGGAAAACCUAUGUUCUGUAUUUAAGAAAAGUUUUCUAUCGAGUGUGUGGACAAUCCUGAUGGACUUCCUGGUAUAAUUGUCUAUGACGAUAAAACAUUCCCCAUUUCUUCUCAAGAAGAUGGCAUCAGGCUGGCUGCUUCUGAUGAUGGACAAGGCCCUUACAGUUCUGUAAGACCCUUCCAAGUCGCCCAUGCCAUGGACAGGGAUCCUCCAGAGGCUGACAUUAAUUCACUAUACAGUCUUCAAGAGGAAGAGGAAGAGGAAGAGGAGGAGGAGGAGGAGGAAGAGAAUGAGUGGAGAAGGCUACAGCCACCAGGCAUACAUGCAACUUGUGUAUUUAAUGAAUUUCUGAUAUAUUAUAUUUUGUUUCACUACAUUUUUUUCUUUCUUUUUUAUUAUUGGGAUAUUGUAAUUGCUACAAUUAAUGGUGAGGAGCUGGUUUACUAUGUGAUCUGGAUAACUUUGCUUAUUGAGUUGAUCCCAGUAGAGUUAUUCAGGUAACUCAGACCUGCUUCAUGAAACCUGACUUUUUAAAUUGUGUAAGGGGUUAAAGGCCAAUUACAGCCAAUUUAUUGUGACAAACAAUGUAAAGUAUUACCUUUAAAGGCACUGGGGCAUACAAAGCUCUCUGAGAUUAAAAUAGGUUAAUCUGUUAAAACAAUGAAACUCUAUGUCAAGAUACUAAUGUAAAUAAAUGUUGCUUGUAAUCUCAUCAAGAGCCUUUAUUUUAUGGAGGGCAAACCACUCAAAAUCCACACAGUAAGACAUUCACAACUGAUUACUUACACAUUCCUAUGGAUUAAGGGAUAACGAACGGCGUAGUGUCCAUUAUCAGGAAUUAGUGUGCGGGGACAGUUGCCUCUGCAGAGUCCAUUAAUUCCUGAUUAUGGACACCUCAAAGGACAUCAAAAUCAUACAUUUUUUUUACAAGCCAUAACUCUUUGGUAGCACUUGUUGGUUGGACUAAUAUUUGGAACAAUCAUUACCAUUCCAUAAGGUUCUAAUGCAAUGGAAACAUUGUUCACUACUGGAGAUAUUUCUUGUUCCCUCCGCUCAUAGAACCCUUUGGAUCAGCUACGAGCCAGAGAGCUAACAGAACAAGAGUGAAAGCCAAUUACACUGCGUAUGGCUGAUAAAUGUUGAGAUAGUGGAUCAAGGCAGACCAACAUGAAUGGAGGGAAAGUCUCUUAAACCUUUUGCACAAGAAUCUCAGGAAAAGAGAAUUGAUGCCAUUCAUUCUGCACUCAUCCUGUGAGCGCCCUCAUAUGGAGCCAGAGUGGAACUGCAACAGUUCAGAAGCCGGAAGUAUACAGAGAGUGGAACUUCUCUCCUUAUUAGACAUUCUCUGACUGCAUUAAUUAAGCAAGCUAGGAAGUUAGCUCACAUGUUUAGCUAACCCAUGUAGUACCUCCACUUAUAUGGACGCCUCUCUUUUCUUUGCUGUUCCUUUGCCUUUCUUGCUAGAUUAAAGGACACAUUUGUUCUUUUUAUACUUUCAUUGUAACUGAACUCACAAUUCAUUCAUACUGAAAUACAUUUAUUUGUAUUCAAGGGAAUUAUUUCUUGAUAUUCUGUUAGCAGUUACAUAUACUGACUGUAAUGUGCAUUGACAGCAGUAUUAAUGGCUUAUUUCAUUUAUUGCAGAAAUCAUGUCAAACUCAGCUUUAGAAAAGAAUUGAAAGGGGUGCUUUGGGUCUGUGUUGUCAUUGUCAAAAAACCAUGUGACAAAGGCCUGUGCUAUGUGCUUAAAUAAAUAGGAAAUUCUAUUUAAUAUACUCAGAUCAAUAUGAGACGAUUAUAAAAUUAAGUUCUGUGUUUACAGGAUUAGAAAAUUAACAUAACUGCAGUGUUAGAUAGUGGUUACAGGCAGUUCAAUGACUGCAGUGUCAAAAAAUGUCCUCCUUAAAACACCCUCCUGCUCCCACUCCCUGGUAUUUUUCCACAACAUAGUCUGGAUGGAACUUUUUCAAUCUAGUUUGAGUUUGAAAAGCUAAAGUUCCUCGAGUGUAUAAGAUAUAGUUGAACUUUCUCUCACUGAAGUAGUAUUUGGGAGUUACCUCAUAAUGGUUUUUGGUCUGCUGGCACCAAAGGAACUCCAUGUAAAGAUACUUUACUUUACUGGUAAAACUCAAUAUUAAAUCUUUGCUCAAUCUGAACUACAUUAAGAAAGAUUUGAAUUGUAUUAACGUAGUUUUGAAAGGUUAAAGUGAAGACACAAAGCAUUUUUAACAAGGUUGUACCUUGUUAAAACUCAGACAAAAUAAGUGUGACUUCAAAACAUGAGCCUUCAAUUCAAAUCCCAUCUCUCACAGUUAGCAUAUUGGAUUUUUUUCAGGAAGGAAAUGUUUUUCUAAACUUGAACAAGUGGACUACUUUAAGUUUCCUGAAUUUAUUAUGCAAGGCUGUUUUUUUGUGUGGUAAAAUGCAGAAGUAUUUGUCCCACAGACAUUUCUUCAUUCAUCCCUUUGGGUGUGAACAAGUUUAGAUGGGAUGAACCAGAAAAAAGAAUUUCAACCAAAAAGUAUAGACAUUAUUUAUCUAUAAUUUCCAGACAGCAGACCAACAUGAAUGGAGGGAGAGUCAAAUUAAGUUAAUAUUUUGGAUGAUUCACAGAAGUCACCCAAAUUGACAUGAAAAAGAGGUGACAUUCGCUGAAAAUUGAGACAGUGGACUUAAGCAGACCAACACGAACAGAGGGAAAGUCCGAUUAAUGUUUUUUACAAGGAUCUCAUGAAAAGAUUCAAUAUUGUAGGAAUGUUGUGGUGAUUACCGUUCCCCCUGAACAAGGGGCUGCUUUUGGUUCUGGACCUCACAGUUAUGUAGCACCUAUCCAAUCCCCUAAUUGUGAGGAUGAGGAGACUGCCAUGGACUGUGAUCCUCCAGAGACUGGAAGUCAUUUAAUGAACAGCAAUGUGGCACCACCUGGAUCCUCCACUGAUGCUGAUGAAGUGCCCAUGGAGGUAGACUAACAGCUGUAAGAAAACCAAAGUCUUGAAGAAGAGAGGCAAUGAAAACUUACUGAAGACUUCAGCAUCUACAGCAACAUUAGCAGCUCUGUGACGCUGAACAUUUUUUCCAUCUCUACCAUCACAUAUGGGACUGCAGCAUAAACCAAUAGCUGUUAAGACAUUUCACACAAAACCUCAAAUGUCAACUCCACGAUGACACUAGAGGUAAAGUCAGAACAUCACCAAUUCAUUGUGACAACCAUGUCUGUGUAAAAUGUCAUGACAAUCUAUUGAAUGGUUGCUGAUUUGGACCAAAGAUGUCCUGAGAUGCUAGUGUGGCUGAAACAAACAAAACAAAAAACUAUGAACCUGUUAUAAUUUACUGUAACAGAGAAUAUGGGAAUGUAACAUUUCAACAAUAUUUCUUGAUUAUAUCAGAAAGCAUUUUUAGGGAUUUCCACACAUUGAGAGGAGGUAAUGUGCUGUUGAACUUGCCAAACUGCUUCAGGAGCAUAACUACCACCCCCUAGGCUGUAUUGUGGCGCUUAUGCUGAUUUGCAUGUAAACAAUGCAGUUAGAUUUAAGAUGUGGCUAACAGAGAUGUGGCUAAGUGUAACAAGCAAAAGUGGGGACUGAAGUACUGUAGAUGGGUUUGCCUCUUAUGAUAAUUAUGUAUUUAUAAUGUCAAGUCCGUUUACAUACAUAGGAUAGGGUACUUUGCCCCUGCCGCCAGCAGUGCCUUAAAUAAUAACACCUACUUACAUAUGACACCAAAAAGGACCCCCCACCAAGCUCAGAAUGUAACUUGAACCCUGCUUCUAACAAAUGUCAUCUUCCACUCUGUCACAUUGUCAAGUUGAAUUGUUUAAUUACUCACAUUUCCUGUAUUGUAAGACAUGAUCUUUUGAAAAAGUUAAAACAAUCAUGUCAUGUCUGUUCUGUUCUCUGAAUGUUGUGGCACUGAUUAAAGUGGAACAAAUUAAGAAGCCACCUCUGUGCCUUUAAUUUUACCCAUGAACUGCAGUUAGGUUUAAUCUUAACCAACUAACAUUUACAAACCACAUCUCUGCAUCAGCUCCAUUAGUGAGCAGCUGUGAGGUGGCAGUACUGCAACACUGUGCAGCUAUUGCAUUAGAACAAAAAAGGGUAAUCAAAUGUUAUUUUUAUGAUGAGUGUUACUUAAAGCCCGUAAGUAACACUCAUCAUAAAAAUAACAUUUGAUUACCCUUUUUUGUUCUAAUGCAAUUGAUCAUACAUUCAUAUAUUCCCUUCACAGUAAUUAUCAACAACAUAAUCUCAUGGAUUCUCAUGGGUUCUGGUGGUACCUGCUGCUAAUAUUUCUCAUAUUAUUAUUAUAGUUACUAUUAUUACUAUUAUUAUUGUUCAUUGUCCCCCAUUGUUGUGGCUGUUUUCGUCAUCAUCUUCUAUUAGUAUAGUUGUUGCUGUGCACCUUUGUUUCUGUCUCUUUGUCUUUACCUCUCUACGCUCUCCAACUGGUCGAGGCAGACAGCCACCCACCUAGAGCCGGGGUCUGUCCGAGAUUUCUGCCCCAAAAAGGAAGUUUUUCCUUGCUGCUAUCGCCAAGUGCUUGGUCAUGGUGGGAACUGUGGUUAACUUUUGUUAUGAAUUGGCGUUAUACAAAUAAAACUGAAUUGAAUUGAGAAUAAAUCAAAAAAUGUCAAGUCCCUUCAAGUCA